rnacentral:rRNA from 1 species
AUUGAACGCUGGCGGCAGGCCUAACACAUGCAAGUCGAACGAGUGGCGGACGGGUGAGUAAUGUCUGGGAAACUGCCUGAUGGAGGGGGAUAACUACUGGAAACGGUAGCUAAUACCGCAUACCAUCAGAUGUGCCCAGAUGGGCUUAGCUUGUUGGUGGGGUAACGGCUCACCCAGGCGACGAUCCCUAGCUGGUCUGAGCGGAUGACCAGUCACACUGGAACUGAGACACGGUCCAGACGCCGAGGGGAGGAAGCAGUGGGGAAUAUUGGACAAGGGGCGCAGUCCGGAUACAGCCAUGCCGCGUGUAUGAAGAAGGCCUUCGGGUUGUAAAGUACUUUCAGCGGGGAGGCGUUACCCGCAGAAGAAGCACCGGCUAACUCCGUGCCAGCAGCCGCGGUAAUUC